rnacentral:lncRNA from 1 species
AUCACAGCAGGUCCCGAAGGCUGCUGUGACCCUUCCUUCUCAGGCUCAAGCAGGGGAUAAACAAAUUGACAUCAUUUUGUCCUGUAAAUAGUGCAGGCUGGUAUUUAACAUGGGUAAAACACAGAUACAGUAUUGAUGAGGGAAAAGUCGCUUCUGUCAUGGAGCUCAGUGUAGUGGAGCCCAAAUGUAAAUUUGCAACUAUGACUAGUGCGGCAAAGCAGCCAACAUAUUCAGAGAGGUCACAGGAGUCUCCCUUGAGGAAGUGACACUGGAGCUGAGAUCUGAAUAACAAGUAGGAAUGAGCUAGGGUAAGAGAGAGAGGCUGGAAGGCCCCUUGAGGCUGAUUACAGGGAUCAAGUGCCCGCAAACCAGAGCAUUGCAUUUAUCAAAAUAAGAGAUAAGAGUGGUCAGGCUAGACCUGGUGGAGAAAAGGAAGGUGGGGGAUUUAGGCUUCAGAGGCAAACUUGGACACCAUUUUAUUGGGUGAGAUUGAAAGGAAGGGGACAAAGGCACAGUAUUGUUUCUACCUCAUGCUACAGGAUGAUUGUAGGGUGUGGGCUGAAAUUGUAAUAAAUCUGUUCAGAUGUAUUG